ensembl:snoRNA
AUCCAUUUUGUGGUUCAUAAGCAUAAUGAUUGAGCUUUCACAUACAUGAGAUGUACCUCACUCAAUUAUUGUUAUGUGUCAGCAUAUUACCCAUCUGACA